rnacentral:rRNA from 1 species
UACGAAGGGGGCUAGCGUUGCUCGGAAUCACUGGGCGUAAAGGGUGCGUAGGCGGGUCUCUAAGUCAGGGGGGAAAUCCUGGAGCUCAACUCCAGAACUGCCUUUGAUACUGAAGAUCUUGAGUUCGGGAGAGGUGAGUGGAACUGCGAGUGUAGAGGUGAAAUUCGUAGAUAUUCGCAAGAACACCAGUGGCGAAGGCGGCUCACUGGCCCGAUACUGACGCUGAGGCACGAAAGCGUGGGGAGCAAACAGG